UCGUUCCUUAAGACCACUAGAUAAGAGAGCUUUCGAAAGAGACGAUCGAUGAUAAAAUAUCUCGAGAGACCUAAUAAGAUAACCUAAAAAAGUUUUAUUAUUCCAAAUUACAAGUGUACAAUACUAUUUAAAUGUACAUUUUAUUAUACGAGAGAAUCGUAAGGUAAAUUAUGUUAAUCGAUUAGACGUUCUCUUAUAAAAGAAUUGGAGGAACCGGCAGCACGCAAAACUCGAUUUUCAACCCCAAUUCUAACCUCACUGUCGACCUUGUAACUUGAGCGUGCUACUUCACCUUGUCCUCUUUUCCUCCUUCGCGUAAAAUCUGACCACAAAAAAUCUACCCCUGCGCCCGCGAAACGAGCAGAAAAUAAGAAACGUAUCUAACGUGUCAGUGGAAUUGGAUCACCGUCGCGUUACGCGAUCGAACCGGAUAUCGAUUCGCUUUUGUUCGAAAGAUUACAAAGAACAGAAGGUAUCGAUGUUCCAGCUACCUUGCUCAAAACGGCUGUCGAAUUUCACGACGAAACGAAGAAAUGCCAGAGGUUACUGGAUCGAGUUAAUACAAGUAGCGAUGACCUUGAAUCAAAAGAGGGAAAAAGGCAGUUCAUUGGAAUUCGUUAUUUGAUAUACGAGACGCGUGCUACCGUUUCAGCUGCACUGUGAGGAUAACUCGAUGAUUGCUGAUCUGAGAUAAAUCGAAGAGCAGUCGGAUAUUAAAGUAUAAUUGAUUUUACUGCUACUAGGAAUAUAGAAAAGUUGACUGUGUAAUGUAAAAGUUUAAAGUCCAGUACUCUAAAAAUUAAAUUACAUUGUUUUUUUUAUAGGAAUUGAGUCAGAGAGAUGAAAAUAAAAGUGUACACUGUGGAGUAUAGUAUGCGCAUAAUAAUUUAUCGUUCGCGUGUGCCUGUGAACGCCCAGUGAACUCAUUUUCGAGAUCCAGAAAAGUAUUACGAACGAUUCUAAAUUUAAAUAGGAUACAGCUGACAUUCUUUGUAACCCUUAAGUAUCGUAAUAAAAUAUAAAGGUGGAGGAAAUAAAAAGUAUGUCCAAAAAAGAAAACGGUAAAUAUUCUUAUCUAUGGAAUUAAACCCUGACGAGUUCAAUGUAUGUAUAAAACAUUUACAUCGUUAAUAUAAAAGUUAAAGAUGUAUACAUUAAGUGAUGCCUACUAUUUUUUAACAUAGAACUGGAAUUAGAGCAACUGCUAUUCUAUUUUUUGGAAUAAAUAGCGGACGUGAAAAAUAGUAAAUGGUGCAUACAACGUCGAAGAAGAAAAUCCGCGUGUCUGCCAAAUACCUGGCGUCAAGAAAGCAGUCGCGGUUUAGCGGCAUUUUUCCUCAGUUUUGGCAAGCAUCCCAGUUUUCACCGGAAUAUCAGACGCGCAAAACCAAUAAGAGAAACAUGUCCACUUGGAUUUCUUCGAAGAUCGUAUAACAAGUAAAACCAUAUAAUUUUAAACGAGCUACUACAUGGUACUAACAAUUUUGAGUACUGCGAAAUGGCGAGAGUAGUUGUCAAAUAAUUUACAUGGAAUUUUACAAAAAAAUUGUGGCGAAAAUAUUACGGGUCACCUCACGUUUCACAGAAACAGACAGCACCGUGGUUACGUAAUAAUGUGAAGAGUAUAAUUUAAAUUAUGUAACUAAUUCCACGACAUGAACCUGCGACCGUUAGUGAACGCGUGAACCGUGCGUUUUCAUUACAUUGUUCAAUGCGCUAUAACUGGCGUUAAGUAUCACUUAAAACAAUUGUUUUUAACAUUGAGGGAUAUCCUGAGGAUUCUAAGAAACAGCUCGGAACAAUUAAGGCAUUACGUUGCAAAUUCCCUUUUUUAUGCAUGUAAGAAAAGAGAUAAUUUGUGGAAUAUCAAUUUGUUCAAACAAUGUUCAAUUAAAAGCUCUGAACAAUUUCUGGUGAUUUCCAGUGAGAACAUCUCAUUAAAUUGUUCAUAAAUAUUAAUCCCUCGAGUGUUUACGAGCGCCACGCCAUCGCUUCGCCUAAAACUCAUUCAAAAUUAUUCACUAUCGAUUCGAACUUUAGAUGACGGAGCGAAGAACACUUCGCUAAUGGAUCGUGCCGGUUACAUCACGCAAAUCAGUAUCCAUGGAUCCAAACCGGCCAGAUUAUACGUUUACGCAACGAUACGUGUCCUCCUAUCGUUUAAUAUCUCCAGCCUCGAUCGGUAACUGCUUAACAUUCCAAAUAAAUAUCCAGGAUACUCCGAUGGUAAUGCCGCGCCUUGGUAAGUAUUCGACACAACUAAUGCUGAUAUCUUGACUUUUUCUGCUGCUACUUUACAGAUGCGCGGAAUGAUUGUGUAAGUAACGACGAAGACUACGGCUUAUCCAAAAUCAAUCGGUCGUUCAAGGUCAUCGAGUGAUCCCUACAUUAUCAGUCCAUCACCUGCCUUCUCAAGUAUGGAUGCUCAGGGUUGUAUUAACGAGAAAAUCUAUAAACAGUGAUUUCGUGGAACAAUAUGAAUACAAUAAGUUAUUAAGAGAUUAGUGGAAAACAGAAUCAAUUAAAUUGGAUGCGAUGGAAAGAGAAAGGCUGUUUUUACGCGACUGUGCAAAUCGAAUAUGACCCCGUUUUCUUUCAAAGAUACAAGGCACUCGAUACGCUUCACUCGCAUAAAGGCAUGAAAGAAGACGUGUAACGAGUACACGUGCACGUGGCAAUGAUCCUGGUCGCGUACGACUGCACUUGUAACGCGAUUAAUAAAAUCGAUGAAAUACACUUAUAGUACGGAAACAUUUGAAUAAGAGUGCGAGAAAGAGAUGGAAACGAGGAAAGGAUAAAAGAGAGGGAGAUAGUUGACGGGAGAGGGAGAAAAACGCGUUGAUUUGGACGGCCUUUGGCAUUUCUCACGUUUCAACGUUAAAACUCACUGUAACCCGCAAUUCACAGUUAUAGAAAAUGAAUAAAGGAAAU
rnacentral:lncRNA from 1 species